rnacentral:rRNA from 1 species
AGAGUUUGAUCCUGGCUCAGAACGAACGCUGGCGGCAGGCUUAACACAUGCAAGUUGAACGUGAUUUGUUGGGUGCUUGCACCGAGCAAUGAAAGUAGCGCACUGGUGAGUAACACGUGGGAACGUACCUUUUGGUGGGGAACAACAGUUGGAAACGACUGCUAAUACCGCAUAAGCCCUGAGGGGGAAAGAUUUAUCGCCGAAAGAACGGCCCGCGGAAGAUUAGGUAGUUGGUGGGGUAACGGCCUACCAAGCCGACGAUCUAUAGCUGGUCUGAGAGGACGAUCAGCCACAUUGGAACUGAGACACGGUCCAAACUCCUACGGGAGGCAGCAGUGAGGAAUAUUGGGCAAUGGAGGCAACUCUGACCCAGCCAUGCCGCGUGAGUGAAGAAGGUUUUCGGAUUGUAAAGCUCUUUCGGAUGUGACGAUGAUGACGGUAGCAUCUAAAGAAGCCCCGGCUAACUUCGUGCCAGCAGCCGCGGUAAUACGAAGGGGGCGAGCGUUGUUCGGAAUUACUGGGCGUAAAGGGUGUGUAGGCGGUUAUGUAAGAUAGCGGUGAAAUCCCGGGGCUUAACCUCGGAAUAGCCGUUAUAACUAUGUAGCUAGAGUUAUGGAGAGGAUAGCGGAAUACCCAGUGUAGAGGUGAAAUUCGUAGAUAUUGGGUAGAACACCGGUGGCGAAGGCGGCUAUCUGGCCAUAUACUGACGCUGAGGCACGAAAGCAUGGGGAUCAAACAGGAUUAGAUACCCUGGUAGUCCAUGCUGUAAACGAUGAAUGCUGGUUGUCGGCUUUAGGGUCGGUGACGAAGUUAACGCGAUAAGCAUUCCGCCUGGGGAGUACGGUCGCAAGAUUAAAACUCAAAGGAAUUGACGGGGACCCGCACAAGCGGUGGAGCAUGUGGUUUAAUU